rnacentral:rRNA from 1 species
UACGAAGGGUGCUAGCGUUGUUCGGAAUUACUGGGCGUAAAGCGCGCGUAGGCGGCUUUUCAAGUCAGGGGUGAAAUCCUGGGGCUUAACCCCAGAAUUGCCUUUGAAACUGUAAAGCUUGAGUGUCGGAGGGGAUAGCGGAAUUGCUAAUGUAGAGGUGAAAUUCGUAGAUAUUAGCAGGAACACCGGUGGCGAAGGCGGCUAUCUGGACGACAACUGACGCUGAGGCGCGAAAGCGCGGGGAUCAAACAGG